rnacentral:rRNA from 1 species
CCCGCUGAACUUAAGCAUAUCAAUAAGCGGAGGAAAAGAAACUAACAAGGAUUCCUUUAGUAACUGCGAGUGAACAAGGAAAAGCUCAAAUUUAAAAUCUAGUAGCUUUGGUUACUCGAGUUGUAGUUUAAAGAAGCGUUUUCGGUGGGUGCCUCGGUAUAAAUCCUUUGGAAUAGGGUAUCAUAGAGGGUGAGAAUCCCGUCUUUGACCGAGAGUAACUUACUAUGUGAUGCGUUUUCUAAGAGUCAGGUUGUUUGGGAUUGCAGCCUAAAAUGGGUGGUAAAUUUCAUCUAAAGCUAAAUAUUGGCGAGAGACCGAUAGCGAACAAGUACCGUGAGGGAAAGAUGAAAAGAACUUUGAAAAGAGAGUUAAACAGUACGUGAAAUUGUUGAAAGGGAAACGUUUGAAACCGUUCUUGUCGGUAGGAGUUCGCUCCUGCCGCACUGGCCAGCGUCAGUUUUGGCUGUCGGAUAAAACUCAAUGGAAUGUGGCUUUUCGGAGUGUUAUAGCCAAUGAGAAAUACGAUGGUCGAGACUGAGGUCUGCAAUCAGUGUCCGAACCUAAUUGCUUGACCCGAUGGGGCCUCAGACAGCUUGCUGACUGGGGUUCGUUUGAGGGGCGACUCUUUUGGGCUUCUAAUUGAUUUAGGUCGCUGGCUUAAAGGUUUUAAAUGACCCGUCUUGAAACACGG